rnacentral:rRNA from 1 species
GACGAACGCUGGCGGCGUGCUUAACACAUGCAAGUCGAACGAUGAACCGGGUGCUUGCACCUGGGGAUUAGUGGCGAACGGGUGAGUAACACGUGAGUAACCUGCCCUGGACUCUGGGAUAACCCCGAGAAAUCGGAGCUAAUACCGGAUAGGACCUUUCCUCGCAUGAGGUUUGGUGGAAAGUUUUUCGGUCUGGGAUGGACUCGCGGCCUAUCAGCUUGUUGGUGAGGUAAUGGCUCACCAAGGCGUCGACGGGUAGCCGGCCUGAGAGGGUGACCGGCCACACUGGGACUGAGACACGGCCCAGACUCCUACGGGAGGCAGCAGUGGGGAAUAUUGCACAAUGGGCGCAAGCCUGAUGCAGCAACGCCGCGUGCGGGAUGACGGCCUUCGGGUUGUAAACCGCUUUUAGUAGGGAAGAAGGGCUUCGGCUUGACGGUACCUGCAGAAUAAGGACCGGCUAACUACGUGCCAGCAGCCGCAGUAAGAC